GCGACCCAGGUCAGGCGGGACU
rnacentral:rRNA from 1 species